rnacentral:rRNA from 1 species
UCCAGACUCCUACGGGAGGCAGCAGUGGGGAAUAUUGGGCAAUGGGGGAAACCCUGACCCAGCGACGCCGCGUGAGGGAAGAAGGUUUUCGGAUUGUAAACCUCUGUCCUUGGUGACGAUAAUGACGGUAGCCAAGGAGGAAGCCACGGCUAACUACGUGCCAGCAGCCGCGGUAAUACGUAGGGGGCAAGCGUUAUCCGGAUUUACUGGGUGUAAAGGGAGCGUAGACGGCGAAGAAAGUCUGAAGUGAAAGCCCGCGGCUCAACCGCGGAAUGGCUUUGGAAACUUUUUUGCUGGAGUACCGGAGAGGUAAGCGGAAUUCCUAGUGUAGCGGUGAAAUGCGUAGAUAUUAGGAGGAACACCAGUGGCGAAGGCGGCUUACUGGACGGUAACUGACGUUGAGGCUCGAAAGCGUGGGGAGCAAACAGGAUUAGAUACCCUAGUA